CAGACAAUAACAGAGAAAGAGGACAAAAGACCAGAACCACCAGGCUUGAUGUGCUAAAGGUCUCAGAGGAAAGAUGCCAAAGGUAACAUCCUGGACACUCACCUUUCAGUCUCCAAAAUCCACUUGCAGUCUCUUUGGUUCUGACCUGAACACAAGCCACGGGGAGUGAUGGUGUUCCCGUCACCGUGAUGGGAGUGGUGGCAGCAAGUCUUCCAAGAUUCCACAAGUGACAUCAUAUGAUAUUUAUCUUGCUCUGUCUGACUGAGUGAAGCUGAUAUUCUUGCUGUUCUGAGGACUCAUUAUAAAUCUUCAGUCAUUUUCGAAAUAAAUUUAUUUAACGCUUCACACUUCCUGGCAUAAAUAUACUCAUUAAUUCAGUGAUUGUCUGAGAAGCCAAGAUUCUAGGGAAAACAGUUUUUAAACACACUUACACUAAAAGAGAGUUCUCUAGUCUCUCUUGCUCAUUUUAGGUUAUUAACCCUUUCACUGACAACCCCUAUUCCAGCAGGGCAUCUUCUAUGGUUUAAGGUCCAGCAGAUCCAACUUUUGCUUGUACCCCAACUGUUUCUCCUGGGGAACAGCUCGGCAUUGUUAAGCGACCCUGAAAAAGGCCCACCCACGUCCUCCCUCAAAACACCCAGCAGGAUUAGUAACAAAGACGUCAGAUGCCAGGGAAAUCCACAGACACAAAAAGAGAAGGCUGGCCUUGGGGUCGGUCAGUUCUUGCCCAUGUCACAGGACUGGUCUUGUGGAGAAACAGGACUCAGUUUUUAGAAGCUGGGAGAUCCAGCAGCUUUUCUCUCUUAAACUGGACUGAUACGGGCACCAGAAGGAAAAUCCUCAAGACCCAGCAGCUUCCAGCCUUUAUCAGAAUCACUGGAGGUGGAUGGACAAGCCCCAGGAACUGAAUUCUCUGCAUUUAGAGAAGGAUCCACCAGAGACAGAAGGACUCAAAGAAA